GGAGCUAUCGCCAAGUGGUAAGGCCGCAGCCUGCAAAGCUGCUAUCGCCGGUUCAAAUCCGGCUAGCUCCUCCA
rnacentral:tRNA from 1 species